GCCCUAGUAGCUCAGCGACCCAGAGCAUCGAUCUUGUAAAUCGAAGGCCGGAGAAUCAGUACCUCCCUAGAGCA
rnacentral:tRNA from 1 species